rnacentral:rRNA from 1 species
GACGUAGGGCGCGAGCGUUGUCCGGAUUUAUUGGGCGUAAAGAGCUCGUAGGCGGCUUGUUGCGUCGACUGUGAAAACCCGCGGCUUAACUGCGGGCUUGCAGUUGAUACGGGCAGGCUAGAGUUCGGUAGGGGAGGCUGGAAUUCCUGGUGUAGCGGUGAAAUGCGCAGAUAUCAGGAGGAACACCGGUGGCGAAGGCGGGUCUCUGGGCCGAUACUGACGCUGAGGAGCGAAAGCGUGGGGAGCGAACAGG